rnacentral:rRNA from 1 species
UACGUAGGGGGCAAGCGUUGUCCGGAAUCAUUGGGCGUAAAGAGCGUGUAGGCGGCCCGAUAAGUCCGCUGUGAAAGUCCAGGGCUCAACCCUGGAAUGCCGGUGGAUACUGUCGGGCUCGAAUCCGGAAGAGGUGAGUGGAAUUCCUGGUGUAGCGGUGAAAUGCGCAGAUAUCAGGAGGAACACCGAUGGCGAAGGCAGCUCACUGGGACGGUAUUGACGCUGAGGCACGAAAGCGUGGGGAGCAAACAGG